rnacentral:lncRNA from 1 species
GAAUAACCUGUCUAUGUGGAUUACCACAUGUAUGGUGAACGAUCCUUUGUAUUUCAUUCCUUAUUAAAUUGUGGAAAUGAUCUGUUUACGUGGAUUAUGAUGAAAGUCAUAAUAAAAGCAUUGGACUAAUGAAAAUCAUGGGUAUAUGUGGUAUUAGUAAGUGUUAUGAUGAGUUAUGUUGGUUAUUAUGUGAAAACAUGAAAGUUUCUUAGAAAUCAC